UAAAAGAAGACAAUAAGGAAAAAAGAAAAAGAGAAAAAAAGAUAGAGGAAAAAGCUUCAGACCCUAGAAUAAUCACGCAGGCUAUCUGUAGAGCUAAAUUCAUGACCAUCAAGCUAUGGAUAAGCUAGACAUCAAUAAAACUAGAGUCGCCACUGUACUUUUAUUGUUUCCAAGGGAAAAGAGAAAAGUAUGAACAAAACCUAAAAGAUAAGAAGUUUUCAAAUCAAAACUAAUAAAAUGCC
rnacentral:lncRNA from 1 species